rnacentral:tRNA from 1 species
GCCUGGGUGGCUCAGUCGGUUGAGUGUCUGACUUCAGUUCAGGUCAUGGUCUCACCAUUCGUGAGUUUGAGCCCCGCAUCGGGCU